ensembl:lncRNA
UUUAAGAAUUUUUCUAAAGCAUAGUCCUAAAAAUGGAACUGAAUGUUUCACUUUACCCCAUGUUGCCAAAUUGCUCUCUAAAGUAAUUGCACUGCAAAGUAAUUGCACUGAUACACAUUUUUCCCUAGCACUUUUCACUCCUUUCCUCAACAUUUCUGUUUAUAAGCAGAACUGUCGAGUUACAUUUCUUUUUGUCAAAGUGUACAUUACUGUCAUUUUAAUUAUUUUCUCUGAUUAUUAAGAAAUAUCUUUUCUUACACUGAUGGAUCAUUCAAGUGUUAUUUUCUCUAAACUACCUGUUCGGUGGCAUUGCUUUUUUUAAACUUAUUGGUUUGUAGAAAUUUAUAAGGUUUUUUGGUUAGGUGUAUGCAGCGCAAGUAUCUGUCUUUUCAUUUUGUUUGAGGCUUUGAGUUACUCCACAUCCUUGUCAAUAUUUGAUAUUGUCAGUCUUUUCAAUUUUAGCCAUUCUAAGGACUGCAAUCAAGUGGGUUUUAUAUUUACUUUGUCUUAUUCAGAACUUGCUGGGAUUUUUCAAUCUGAAGACAAACUUUUCAUCAAUUCUGCAAAUUCUGUCCUUAGUUCUUCAAAUAUUGUUUCUUUCCUAUCUCCCACAGCUUUCCUUCGGAACCCUUCUUAGAUGCAUGUUGACAUUUUUCAUCCUAUUCCACAAGUAUAAAUGUUUUUUCACAUUUUCAAAUUCUUUAUAUCUCUAUACUAUGUUCUAGGAAAUGCCCCGAAAUCUAUCUUCUAGUUAACUAGUUUUUCAUUCAUCUAAUUUGUUAUGUAACUUAUCCAUUCAGUUUUCUCUUAUUUUCACUCCUUUUCUUCUGUUUUCUGUAUUCAAAAAGUCUAUCCUUCUAGGGGUGUCUAUUUUUAAGUCUCUACCUAUCCUUUCAUUUGUUUGCUGAAUCUCACUCAGGGUCUGUUACUCUGUUUAUAAAUUUGGAUCGUGAUCUAUACCACAAAACCUUAACUACAAGAAUUCUAUACAACUUGGUUUAUUUACUUUUCCUUUUAUAGAGGUUUUAUAACUUUUAAUGCCAGAUUCCUCAGGAUAUUACUGGGUAGGGACCACUUUUUUUUCAAACUCCUUUUCUGGGUGUCUGAACUUUACAGAGAAUAUGUGUUUAACCCCAAAUUCAUAUUAGGGCUGGGCUGAAGUUAAAAACUCUUGGGAGAGAUUUCAUUCCUUAGAGAUACUGGGAAGAGACAAUAAACCCAUUUUGCCAUCCUCUUGGAUGGGUAUCUUCCAGUCUAUCCUGAGAGUGAAGCCCUUCAGGAAUCACAGCUUUCUGUGGGAUCUCACCUGCAACGCCCUACCUUGAUGAAACUCAAACAUUAUCUCCUAUGUUCAUGUUGUUGUCAGAUCCAAGCUCCAUGUUGCUGGGACUAAUUAUUCCUUUCCCCUAUGGCACUAGAAUCAUUACAGUACUUUUCAGUACCUUCCUUAUUUUUGGCCUCUAGGGUUUCAAUACUUUGUAGAGAGCUCAGAUCAUUAUUUAAUAGAUGUUUCUUAUAUAUUACUAUGUAUUUCUAGGUAUUUAUAGUAAUUAAGAGAGUUUUAAAAAUGUUAUUGUGGCACACAGCCUCCAAAUACAGCAGGCUACAAUCCCUCCCAUUCUUGUAUGCUCAUGCUGCCUCUUACAUCAAGAAGCUGAGUUUAUUUUCCCUCUCUUGAAUCUUACCAGUAGGAUGUUGUAGGAAGAAUAUUCUGGGACUUCUGAGCCAAGGUCUUAAGUGUUCUGGCAACUUUUACUUUCUUUUUCUUGGAGUCCGGCCACCAUGUCACAAGGACAUCCAGGCUAGACUAAUGAAUGACUAGUGACCACAGUCAGAGAAGCCCUGGGGAAGGAGAGCGCAUCUCUGGAUGUUCCAACUCUGGCCCAGUUUCCAGCUAAAUGCAGGUACAUUAGUAACCCUAACUGACAUCAUGUGAAGCAGAACAAAACAGCUAAGCCAUGCCAAAUUCUUGACUCACAGGAUCGUGAAAAAUAAAUUCUUGCUUUAAGC